UGGUCCUACGGGACGCAGCAGUGAGGAAUAUUGGUCAAUGGUCGGGAGACUGAACCAGCCAAGCCGCGUGAGGGAUGAAGGUACAGAGUAUCGUAAACCUCUUUUGUCAGGGAACAAAGGCGGGGACGUGUCCCCGGAUGAGUGUACCUGAAGAAAAAGCAUCGGCUAACUCCGUGCCAGCAGCCGCGGUAAUACGUAGGGUGCAAGCGUUAUCCGGAUUUAUUGGGCGUAAAGGGCUCGUAGGCGGUUCGUCGCGUCCGGUGUGAAAGUCCAUCGCUUAACGGUGGAUCCG
rnacentral:rRNA from 1 species